UUUGGAGUCGAUAACUCUUGGAGACAUGUUGCGAUUGACAGCGUGCAUGGAUGUAAUGUGGAAUUUCUUUUGUCUACACGUCCGUUCGUUACAGAAGGUUUCAUACAUUAAUUGGAUGUGUGAAUAUCGAAGAAUCGUCUUGACAUUGGAUAUUAAUUGAGACUGAGAUCCUUACAAAGAGUAUAGUUCCUUUUCUACAGCUUAUUUAGGGGGAAAGAGACGGUAUUAUCUGUCAACGGGGACGUUCCUAUCAAUGUUGGCUCGCGACAACAAAGAUUUCUCGUGGGAUGUUUGGGGGAUGAAAUCAGAAAG
rnacentral:lncRNA from 1 species